UACAAGUUAGCAAACAUGUCACAAA
rnacentral:piRNA from 1 species